UGAAAGAUAUUGAAGGGGUGUAGUUCACUGAAAUAUUAUUGGGGUGUGUAAAUAAUGUCAGAAAUUAAUUUUCAGGUAAACUAUCAAAUUUUUGCAAGAAAGUCAAUGCUUAAAAUUAGUUUGCCAUUGGUGUAAGACAGACUAAACUAAUUUUGUAAGAGUGAAUCUUGGAUUAAAUCUUAAUAUCCUAUGCAGUUGUGCUUCUUAAGGAAAUCUACCUUGAUGUUUAGAAAUUUAUACCGAAAAGCAAGACAAAUACUGAUUAAGAAAUGUAUUUUUUUUUCUUCUAGGUUUUCCCACUCAUCUUCUUCUGGGGCAGCAGACUGUAAGCAGAUACCUUGAGACCAAACGAUAGGAGGACAGGACCAGAAGACAACACAAGCUGGACUCAAACUCACCACACCACGUC
ensembl:lncRNA